rnacentral:lncRNA from 1 species
GCGCAAUUCAAGAUACUCCAGUCUUCCUUUGGAGUUAAUUUUUCAUCCUCAUACUCAUUGUCUGAUCCACCAUAAUAACUGUAAUAGUCGCCAUUGUGCAAUAGAAACAGAAAAUCAUGUUUAUUAAUCAUGUAGCAAAUUCGAACAAAAUCACUAAACAAAUCUUACUUCUUCAUAACCAUGCAUCUUUGGUAGAAGAUCUGCUCCUAAUUAAUUAGCACAAUCCUGCAAACCAAAAAUUAUGUUUGAAACAUGAUCUUGAUACAAAACAUAUAACACAUACCAAUGAAUACAAUAUUAAAAA